rnacentral:tRNA from 1 species
GAGGGGUGGCAGAGUGGUCGAAUGCGGCGGUCUUGAAAACCGUUGAGUCGCAAGGCUCCGGGGGUUCGAAUCCCUCCCCCUCC